rnacentral:rRNA from 1 species
CCCUUAGAUGUCCGGGGCCGCACGCGCGCUACACUGAAGGAAUCAGCGUGGCUUUCUCCCUGACCCGAAAGGGUUGGGAAACCCGUUGAAUCUCCUUCGUGAUAGGGAUUGGGGCUUGAAAUUGUUCCCCAUGAACGAGGAAUUCCCAGUAAGCGCGAGUCAUAAGCUCGCGUUGAUUACGUCCCUGCCCUUUGUACACACCGCCCGUCGCUACUACCGAUUGAACGGUUUAGUGAGGGCCUCGGAUUGGUCUCGGCCCGCUCUUUACCGGGCGGCGCCGUUAGUCGAGAAGACGCUCGAACUUGAUCGUUUAGAGGAAGUAAAAGUCGUAACA